rnacentral:rRNA from 1 species
UACACUCCUACGGGAGGCAGCAGUGGGGAAUUUUGGACAAUGGGCGAAAGCCUGAUCCAGCAAUGCCGCGUGAGUGAAGAAGGCCUUCGGGUUGUAAAGCUCUUUUGUCAGGGAAGAAACGGUGAGAGCUAAUAUCUCUUGCUAAUGACGGUACCUGAAGAAUAAGCACCGGCUAACUACGUGCCAGCAGCCGCGGUAAUACGUAGGGUGCAAGCGUUAAUCGGAAUUACUGGGCGUAAAGCGUGCGCAGGCGGUUUUGUAAGUCUGAUGUGAAAUCCCCGGGCUCAACCUGGGAAUUGCAUUGGAGACUGCAAGGCUAGAAUCUGGCAGAGGGGGGUAGAAUUCCACGUGUAGCAGUGAAAUGCGUAGAUAUGUGGAGGAACACCGAUGGCGAAGGCAGCCCCCUGGGUCAAGAUUGACGCUCAUGCACGAAAGCGUGGGGAGCAAACAGGAUUAGAAACCCGUGUAGUCCCA